AUUGAACGCUGGCGGCAUGCCUUACACAUGCAAGUCGAACGGCAGCACGGGAGCAAUCCUGGUGGCGAGUGGCGAACGGGUGAGUAAUACAUCGGAACGUGCCCAAUCGUGGGGGAUAACGCAGCGAAAGCUGUGCUAAUACCGCAUACGAUCUACGGAUGAAAGCAGGGGAUCGCAAGACCUUGCGCGAAUGGAGCGGCCGAUGGCAGAUUAGGUAGUUGGUGAGGUAAAGGCUCACCAAGCCGUCGAUCUGUAGCUGGUCUGAGAGGACGACCAGCCACACUGGGACUGAGACACGGCCCAGACUCCUACGGGAGGCAGCAGUGGGGAAUUUUGGACAAUGGGCGAAAGCCUGAUC
rnacentral:rRNA from 1 species